GACGAACGCUGGCGGCGUGCUUAACACAUGCAAGUCGAACGGAAAGGCCCUGCUUUGGUGGGGUGCUCGAGUGGCGAACGGGUGAGUAACCCGUGAGUAACCUGCCCUUGACUUUGGGAUAACUUCAGGAAACUGGGGCUAAUACCGGAUAGGAGCUCCUGCUGCAUGGUGGGGGUUGGAAAGUUUCGGCGGUUGGGGAUAGACUCGCGGCUUAUCAGCUUGUUGGUGGGGUAGUGGCUUACCAAGGCUUUGACCGGUAGCCGGCCUGAGAGGGUGACCGGCCACACUGGGACUGAGAUACGGCCCAGCCUCCUACGGGAGGCAGCAGUGGGGAAUAGUGCACAAUGGGCGGAAGCCUGAUGCAGCAACGCCGCGUGCGGGAUGACGGCCUUCGGGUUGUAAACCGAUUUCGCCUGUGACGAAGCGUGAGUGACGGUAAUGGGUAAAGAAGCACCGGCUAACUACGUG
rnacentral:rRNA from 1 species